GAUGAACGCUGGCGGCGUGCCUAAUACAUGCAAGUCGAGCGAACAGACGAGGAGCUUGCUCCUUCGACGUUAGCGGCGGACGGGUGAGUAACACGUAGGUAACCUACCUAUAAGACUGGGAUAACUUCGGGAAACCGGAGCUAAUACCGGAUAAUAUUUCGAACCGCAUGGUUCGAUAGUGAAAGAUGGCUUUGCUAUCACUUAUAGAUGGACCUGCGCCGUAUUAGCUAGUUGGUAAGGUAACGGCUUACCAAGGCAACGAUACGUAGCCGACCUGAGAGGGUGAUCGGCCACACUGGAACUGAGACACGGUCCAGACUCCUACGGGAGGCAGCAGUAGGGAAUCUUCCGCAAUGGGCGAAAGCCUGACGGAGCAACGCCACGUGAGUGAUGAAGGUCUUCGGAUCGUAAAACUCUGUUAUUAGGGAAGAACAAACGUGUAAGUAACUGUGCACGUCUUGACGGUACCUAAUCAGAAAGCCACGGCUAACUACGUG
rnacentral:rRNA from 1 species